rnacentral:rRNA from 1 species
UGGCGUAAACAAAGGGAAGCGAGACGGUGACGUUAAGCAAAUCCCAAAAAUAACGUCCCAGUUCGGAUUGUAGUCUGCAACUCGACUACAUGAAGCUGGAAUCGCUAGUAAUCGCGAAUCAGAAUGUCGCGGUGAAUACGUUCCCGGGUCUUGUACACACCGCCCGUCACACCAUGGGAGUCGGAAAUGCCCGAAGUCAGUGACCUAACCGAAAGGAAGGAGCUGCCGAAGGUGGAGCCGGUAACCGGGGUGAAGUCGUAACAAGGUACC